rfam:Anolis carolinensis chromosome Tnknown cont2.39816, whole genome shotgun sequence.
GGAUGUGAGGGCGAUCUGGCUGCGACAUCUGUCACCCCAUUGAUGGCCAGGGUUGAUUCGGCUGAUCUGGCUGGCUAGGUGGGUGUCCCCUUCUCCCACACCGCUCCAUGUGUGUCCCUCCCGAAGCUGUGAAAAGGUGGAAAAGGACAACGUCCCAGGUAUAGAAGGAGUGCACGGAGGUCUCCAGUCUUCGGUCCCGGGUAUACGAUAGCUGCGCUCCCCUGCUAGAACCUCCAAACAAGCUCAGUGAGAAACCUCCAAUAGAUGAAAGAAGAAGCAAUUCAUUGAUCUUUCAAUGCAGACUAUCACUUCCAGUGGAACAUGUGAAUUCU